UACGUAGGGUGCGAGCGUGUCCGGAAUUAUUGGGCGUAAAGAGCUCGUAGGCGGCUUGUCGCGUCGUUCGUGAAAACCUGCAGCUCAACUGCAGGCUUGCGGUCGAUACGGGCAGGCUAGAGUUCGGUAGGGGAGACUGGAAUUCCUGGUGUAGCGGUGAAAUGCGCAGAUAUCAGGAGGAACACCGGUGGGCGAAGGCGGGGUCUC
rnacentral:rRNA from 1 species